ACACCUACGGGGGGCAGCAGUGGGGAAUAUUGCACAAUGGGGGAAACCCUGAUGCAGCAACGCCGCGUGAGUGAAGAAGUAUUUCGGUAUGUAAAGCUCUAUCAGCAGGGAAGAGAAUGACGGUACCUGACUAAGAAGCCACGGCUAACUACGUGCCAGCAGCCGCGGUAAUACGUAGGUGGCAAGCGUUAUCCGGAAUUACUGGGUGUAAAGGGUGUGUAGGCGGGGCUGCAAGUC
rnacentral:rRNA from 1 species